UAUCUAGCUCGACCUGGCCCUCAGAUGGCUCGUCCUCAUUUCUGGGAGGGUACGCCUUGGAAAUCCAAGAACUGGACUCCAAGCGAUCGAUGUCUGCUGAGUUGCACCGCUCCCGGACGGUGAUUCACGACCGUAGCCCGCCGCCUCACGAGCGACUCUAACUAAUUGGCGCUGGUGCUUAAACUCCGCUUCAGACACCCGACCAGCCGCCAGGAAUUCCUCAAGCACGACCAGCCUAGCCUUCGCAUACACCCACAUCUCGUGCGCCUCGCAAGACAUAUUGAC
rnacentral:lncRNA from 1 species